UCUCUCUCCCCAUUUGAAGAACGCCAUUCUCUCUCCCCACCAGCAGACAAUAAUGCUCCAUCUUCUUCCCUCCCUCCCUUUCUCACACGAUAAAGUAGCAGACGGAAGAGCUCAUCGGAAGCAGAGGCAAACAGAUCGCUUUGUAUAAGGAUAUCUUCACUAUCAACAGUAUAAGGAUAUCUUCACUAUUGACGAUGAUUGCUUUGUAAGAUCCCUAUUCUUUAGUGCCCUUUUGAGAAUUGUUUUGUUUUUGCUGAGUUGUUUUGAUUUGGUUUUUGGGUUUUAGAGUUUGAUUUUAUGUUAUAUUUGUUCAAUUUUAGUGGGGAAGUGCUGAAUUUCGGUGGGGUUUUGAGUUUUAUUUUGAGAAAUUUGGUUUUGAUUCGUUUGAUUUAUGGAUAUUGUUAAAGUUUUGUUUUUUCAACUGGGUUUGACUUUGGGAGUAGGAUUGUGGUAUUUUUUGUUGAGCAUUUGUUAAAUUGUAGUGAUACUGACUUUUGGCGUGAUGGAUUUAACUUUUAAUGGGGUUUGAGUUUUUAGCUUUUUCUUUUUGGUACAAUGAUUGUUUUGCAAGCUAAAAAGGGUUUCAUGAAAUCCAAGCAACUAUGUUGCAAAGUUUAAACUGCUUCCUGUAUAUAUACUUUCUACUUUGUUUAUUUUUAUUUUUAUUUUUGGGCAUUACUUAUAUCUGUACUAAUUUACAUUUUAUUUGCUUUUUGCUGUGUUUCUACUCUCUCAUAUUUUGUUCAAUUCAGAGAAACCAACCGAACACUUAUUGGGAUGGCUCUUGAAAUUUACCUCUCGAGAAAGCCAAAUUGUUAACAAUUUAUAUUCAAAACAACAACACUUAAACCAGGCUUGUUGGUUUAGAAAGUAGUAUGGGUAAUGCAUAUAUCUCUGCAUAUUAUCAUACUUCAUUUAUACUGUGACAAAAGGAAACAAGAGUACAAGACUAAGUAUGCUAACUUCAGUUUAUAUUUGAGUAGCACUUACCUUUUUAACCUUUUUACAUACACUGUAAAAUUGUGGUAAUGAUAUAUUAUAACCACUUGAAUGAUUGUUAGCAUUAAUCCCUUAUAUAAGACCAAAAUUGUUUUGUCGUUACCUACUAGAAUGUCAUUAUAGCCAUGGUGUUUAUUCAAUGUGUUAUACAAUCAAGUGCAUUAUCUGCAAGCAGCAGGUACACCAAGAUGGCAAGUACUGUCAUACUUGUGCUUACACUAAAGGUAUUAGUUUACUUCUAAACUACUACUUGAGCACGUACAUUAAGUUACACAGAAAGUUGUACUUGUUAUCUGUAAUCAACUUUCCUCAUUUGUAUUGGAUACUGAAAAGUGCAUUAUUACUAUCACUUUUUUGGCAGUUCUGAGAAACUAGAAGAUUCAAAUGGAAGCAAUGCUGAGAUUUUGGAAUGGACCUUCCUGUUUUAAUUCAGGUUAUAUCCUGAUGUUGCUGGACCAGAUGAGGACUAGUGGUGAUCUGGAGAAAACCACAUCUUUUUGGAGCUCUCUGUAAUUGGUUUGAGACAGCUAUUGUUUGAAUGUUGAUGAUUUGUCAGCAAGUCUCUGUUUUCAAUUACAGAUAUUGUAUAUAAACAAGCUAUUCCACUCGGUUUUUGCUGUCUCUGUUUUGGAAUGUUAGUACAAUUACAGAUAUUGUAUAAAACUUUUGCUUGUGUUUUGGAAUGUUUGUUCCAUAACUCGACUUAAGUUAAUGCCGUAGAGUGAGAGCCCAAACGUGUUGGGUGGGAUUGAUCACAUAAUGGCACUAUUGGACAUUUGGAUUGCACCCAAAAAAGAGAAAACGUAUACAAAUUUAUCACACUACUAUUUGCUUGCUACUCAGUCUAUAUAUAGCUACCUAGUCCAGAGCAUAUGGAUCUCAACUCUCUCUCUCUCUCUCAGUUUCACCUUUGAUCAUUCCCAUUUGUAAUCUUUCAUCAUUGUCUUCCUCAAGUCUUAUUCACCCUGAUACAGGUACCCCAUUAUCUUCAACAUUGUAAUCUAUCUUUAUCACUUUAUGGGUCUCAAAGAAAAUAAUCAAUUUUGAAUUUUUCUCCAGGAGCAAUCAGAGUAUUUGAAGCAAAGUUCCUUCAAAGUUCAAUUCACUACUACUGUAAAACCAACAUAGUAGGAAAUCUCAUUCAAUUCACAUAUGUGCACAAAUCUCAUACAUAACGUGUUGGUUAAAGACUAAAAAUUAUUAAAAUUACAACCAGAAUGGCGUCUGCAGAUGCGGAGAGAGAAUGACGUUCUUCAAAUGGGGAGAGAAAAUCUGUAUUUUAAACUGAGUAUUGAGUUUUUGACCCGGGUGUGACCCGCGCGUCUUUUUUCUUUCUUUUUUUCAUUUGGUCCGUGGAAGAGGGCCGUUUUUGAAUGGCUCUCUCUCUAUAUCCAUUGUUCAUUUUCCCUAACAAUAGGUAGAUAGAUGAUGACAUGGAUUGAAAAAUCUAGCAUGUAAAAAAAUUCCCGUUGCCGCCACAGGACGAGGACGAGGACAUCGUCAAAUAGUAUUAUACUAAUGUUAAGAGAAAUAAGUGGAAAAAAUUAUGAGAGGAAAUUAAGCUGCGUAUCCAACUUUUCCAAGAAUCUUAAAACCUUCUCAAUCAAUCAAAUCAAUGUAUAUGAAUGUUUUCAAUUUUCG
rnacentral:lncRNA from 1 species